UGAGGAAUAUUGGUCAAUGGGCGAGAGCCUGAACCAGCCAAGUAGCGUGCAGGAUGGCGGCCCUACGGGUUGUAAACUGCUUUUAUGAAGGAAUAAAGUCACCCACGUGUGGGUGUUUGCAUGUACUUUAUGAAUAAGGACCGGCUAAUUCCGUGCCAGCAGCCGCGGUAAUACGGAAGGUCCGGGCGUUAUCCGGAUUUAUUGGGUUUAAAGGGAGCGCAGGCCGCCGGGCAAGCGUGUUGUGAAAUGCAGUCGCUCAACGUCUGCACUGCAGCGCGAACUGCCCAGCUUGAGUGCGCGCAACGUUGGCGGAAUUCGCCGUGUAGCGGUGAAAUGCUUAGAUAUGGCGAAGAACUCCGAUUGCGAAGGCAGCUGACGGGUGCGUAACUGACGCUCAUG
rnacentral:rRNA from 1 species